GACGAACGCUGGCGGCGUGCUUAACACAUGCGAGUCGAACGGAAAGGCCCCUUUGGGGGUCCUCGAGUGGCGAACGGGUGAGUAACACGUGAGUAACCUGCCCUUGACUUCGGGAUAACUUCAGGAAACUGGGGCUAAUACCGGAUAGGAAUCCUUGCUGCAUGGUGGGGGUUGGAAAGCUUCGGCGGUUUUGGAUGGACUCGCGGCUUAUCAGCUUGUUGGUGGGGUAGUGGCUUACCAAGGCUUUGACGGGUAGCCGGCCUGAGAGGGCGACCGGCCACAUUGGGACUGAGAGACGGCCCAGACGCCUACGGGAGGCAGCAGUGGGGAAUAUUGCACAAUGGGCGGAAGCCGGAUGCAGCAACGCCGCGGGCGGGAGGACGGCCUUCGGGUUGUAAACCGCUUUCAGCAGGGGCGAAGCUUGUGGUGACGGUACCUGCAGAAGAAGCACCGGCUAACUACGUG
rnacentral:rRNA from 1 species